AGCACAACAAUGGCAGCUAAACAAGCUUUAACUCAGGGCACAGAAAGCACAGCUAAUACUGAUGAAAAUGUUCCACCCUGUGAGGACUUGAAGUCUGUUGGUAACAUUCAGAUUUCAGAUGCUGAGUGGAAAGAAUUAUGUAAAACAGCAGCUGUGCAAAGCUGCCUUUUUGUAUUUGGAGAUGAAGCUAGUGUUCUGAAGGCUAUGGCUGUUAUCAAAACAAAUAAAGGGCAUUUUCCUGCUGACACCAAAGGUUACGACAUAGCAGUUAUAAUCAUUGACAUGGAGGAUGAUGAUCUCAACACAGGUUGGGACAGUGCAAUCGUGGAAACAGAAAACAAGGGUGAUGGUAUUCUACACAAAUUACCAGUGUAAACCUUGUGACCAGUAUAGUGAAAAUAGGACAGGAAAAUGGUUUUGGAAUAUUUGGGCAAAUGCAAAAAGCUUUUUGUUUUUCAACAUUUAGCUGAAAGAUUGGGAAAUGAGAGAUAUGGUGACGGCAGUAACUCUAUACAUAUUUUGUAACACUAUGCUUUUGACCCCUUAAAUAACCUUGUUCACCUGUAGAACUCUUCACAAGCCACUGACUACAAUGUUAAUAUGGCUUGAGCAUUUACUCACACUAAAGCACUCAUUGAUACAAGAUCAGUAACUCUUACUCAAUACAAUAUAACCUGUCAAGAUCACUUACUGCAGGUAUCUGGGAUUUCUUUCCUGGUUUAACAUCUCCUGCUAUGACUGUUCCCUUAAAGUAGUAGUGUAGAUCUAUAGGAAGCAGAUUCACCACAGUAACAGGGGGCAUAAUCACUACAGUGUGACCAGGCAAGGGCAGUAACCCCCUCUGUAUAGAAUCUUCUGGAAAAUUCUCUCGGCGGACAGCAACACAAUACCUACAAGCAGUAUCAACGCUACAUGAUAGCAUACUCUUAGAACAAAUUUCUAUAGGUGUGUCCAGUCUGUUGGACACCAUGAGGGCGGACCUGAGUGUGAUCACCUUUCUAGCACUGCCCUCCUGCUGGAUGUCAAACACAACCCUAGCUUUCUGCUGAUCAUUCUGAAAGAGUAUCUCUGGGUGUCGGCCCCUACAGAAGAGGGGUUUACAGUGACAGGUGCAAACCAGACCGGGGAACCAGUAUGGUUGCGGACUGCAUAUGGUAUAAACAGCUGGCGACGUUUAACAUCACUUGGUGAGUACACUUCCUUUUGAGAUCUGUAAAACAGACAGAAAUU